rnacentral:rRNA from 1 species
GCCUUAUAGUGGGGGAUAGCCUUUCGAAAGGAAGAUUAAUACCGCAUAAGAUUGUAGUAUCGCAUGAUAUAGCAAUUAAAGGAGCAAUCCGCUAUAAGAUGGACCCGCGUCGCAUUAGCUAGUUGGUGAGGUAAUGGCUCACCAAGGCGACGAUGCGUAGCCGACCUGAGAGGGUGAUCGGCCACAUUGGGACUGAGACACGGCCCAGACUCCUACGGGAGGCAGCAUG